rnacentral:tRNA from 1 species
GGAGGGAUGGCAGAGCGGACAAAUGCGCGGCUCUUGAAAAGCCGUGAGACGAAAGUCUCCGUGGGUUCGAAUCCCACUCCCUCCG